UACAGAGGGUCUCAAGCGUUGUUCGGAUUCAUUGGGCGUAAAGGGUGCGUAGGCGGCGCGGUAAGUCGGGUGUGAAAUCUCGGAGCUUAACUCCGAAACUGCAUUCGAUACUGCCGUGCUUGAGGACUGGAGAGGAGACUGGAAUUUACGGUGUAGCGGUGAAAUGCGUAGAUAUCGGGAGGAACACCGGUGGCGAAGGCGGCGACCUGGGUAGAUACUGACGCUGAGGUGCGAAAGGCGUGGGGAGCAAACAGG
rnacentral:rRNA from 1 species